AGCGAACGCUGGCGGCAGGCCUAACACAUGCAAGUCGAACUAACUCUUCGGAGUUAGUGGCGGACGGGUGAGUAACACGUGGGAACGUGCCUUUUGGUUCGGAAUAACUCAGGGAAACUUGUGCUAAUACCGAAUGUGCCCUUCGGGGGAAAGAUUUAUCGCCAUUAGAGCGGCCCGCGUCUGAUUAGCUAGUUGGUGAGGUAACGGCUCACCAAGGCGACGAUCAGUAGCUGGUCUGAGAGGAUGACCAGCCACACUGGGACUGAGACACGGCCCAGACUCCUACGGGAGGCAGCAGUGGGGAAUCUUGCGCAAUGGGCGAAAGCCUGACGCAGCCAUGCCGCGUGAAUGAUGAAGGUCUUAGGAUUGUAAAAUUCUUUCACCGGGGACGAUAAUGACGGUACCCGGAGAAGAAGCCCCGGCUAACUUCGUG
rnacentral:rRNA from 1 species